rnacentral:misc_RNA from 1 species
CUCUAGCCCAGAUGGUUAAAUUGCUCUCGCAAUUACCUCUUGUGGCGGUGUUCGCCACAAGAGAUACAGUGAACAGCUGGAUUGGCU